rnacentral:rRNA from 1 species
GACGAACGCUGGCGGCGUGCUUAACACAUGCAAGUCGAACGGAAAGGCCUCUUUCGGGGGGUACUCGAGUUGCGAACGGGUGAGUAACUCGUGAGUAACCUGCCCUUGUCUUUGGGAUAACUUCAGGAAACUGGGGCUAAUACCGGACAGGAGCUCCUGCUGCACGGAGGGGGCUGGAAAGUUUCGGCGGCUGGGGAUGGAUUCGCGGCGUAUCAGCUUGUUGUUGGGGUAAUGGCUUACCAAGGCCUUGACGGGUAGCCGGUCAGUGAGGGUGAUCGGCCACAUUGGGACUGAGGUGCGGCCCAGGCUGCUACGGGAGGCAGAAGGGGGGAAGACUGCACAAUGGGUGGAAGCCUGGUGCAGCAGCGCCGUGGGCGGGAUGACUGCCUUCGGGGUGAAGACCAUAUUCGCUAGUGACGGAGCUUUGUGUGACGGUAGUGAGUAAAAAAGCACCGGCUAACUACGUG